rnacentral:rRNA from 1 species
AAAUUGAAGAGUUUGAUCAUGGCUCAGAUUGAACGCUGGCGGCAGGCCUAACACAUGCAAGUCGAACGGUAACAGGAAGMAGCUUGCUKCUUYGCUGAYGAGUGGCGGACGGGUGAGUAAUGUCUGGGAAACUGCCUGAUGGAGGGGGAUAACUACUGGAAACGGUAGCUAAUACCGCAUAACGUCGCAAGACCAAAGAGGGGGACCUUCGGGCCUCUUGCCAUCGGAUGUGCCCAGAUGGGAUUAGCUAGUAGGUGGGGUAACGGCUCACCUAGGCGACGAUCCCUAGCUGGUCUGAGAGGAUGACCAGCCACACUGGAACUGAGACACGGUCCAGACUCCUACGGGAGGCAGCAGUGGGGAAUAUUGCACAAUGGGCGCAAGCCUGAUGCAGCCAUGCCGCGUGUAUGAAGAAGGCCUUCGGGUUGUAAAGUACUUUCAGCGGGGAGGAAGGGAGUAAAGUUAAUACCUUUACUCAUUGACGUUACCCGCAGAAGAAGCACCGGC